rnacentral:rRNA from 1 species
AGACCCGAAACCCGGUGAUCUAGCCAUGGGCAGGUUGAAGGUUGGGUAACACUAACUGGAGGACCGAACCGACUAAUGUUGAAAAAUUAGCGGAUGACCUGUGGCUGGGGGUGAAAGGCCAAUCAAACCGGGAGAUAGCUGGUUCUCCCCGAAAGCUAUUUAGGUAGCGCCUCGUGAAUUCAUCUCCGGGGGUAGAGCACUGUUUCGGCUAGGGGGCCAUCCCGGCUUACCAACCCGAUGCAAACUGCGAAUACCGGAGAAUGUUAUCACGGGAGACACACGGCGGGUGCUAACGUCCGUCGUGAAGAGGGAAACAACCCAGACCGCCAGCUAAGGUCCCAAAGUCAUGGUUAAGUGGGAAACGAUGUGGGAAGGCACAGACAGCCAGGAUGUUGGCUUAGAAGCAGCCAUCAUUUAAAGAAAGCGUAAUAGCUCACUGGUCGAGUCGGCCUGCGCGGAAGAUGUAACGGGGCUAAACCAUG